GCGGGCGCUGGCUUCACAUGUAUUGGAAUUGGAAUGAUACACAAAGGAUUAGCAUGGCCCCCACACAAAGAUGACACCAAAUUCGUGAAGUGGUCGUAUUUUCC